rnacentral:rRNA from 1 species
UACAGAGGUCUCAAGCGUUGUUCGGAUUCAUUGGGCGUAAAGGGUGCGUAGGUGGCGCCGUAAGUCGGGUGUGAAAUUUCGGAGCUUAACUCCGAAACUGCAUUCGAUACUGCGGUGCUUGAGGACUGGAGAGGAGACUGGAAUUCAUGGUGUAGCAGUGAAAUGCGUAGAGAUCAUGAGGAAGACCAGUGGCGAAGGCGGGUCUCUGGACAGUUCCCGACACUGGGGCACGAAGGCCAGGGGAGCAAACGGG